rnacentral:rRNA from 1 species
AGAGUUUGAUCCUGGCUCAGGAUGAACGCUAGCGACAGGCUUAACACAUGCAAGUCGAGGGGCAGCGAGGGCGUAGCAAUACGCCUGUCGGCGACCGGCGCACUGGUGAGUAACACGUAUGCGACCUGCCCCCUACAGGGGUAUAACCCGUAGAAAUGCGGACUAAUCCCCCAUAGUCCUGGGUGCUGCAUGGCAUUCAGGGGAAAGGCCAGCCGGUAGGGGAUGGGCAUGCGGCGCAUUAGCUAGUUGGCGGGGCAACGGCCCACCAAGGCGACGAUGCGUAGGGGUUCUGAGAGGAAGGUCCCCCACACUGGUACUGAGACACGGACCAGACUCCUACGGGAGGCAGCAGUGAGGAAUAUUGGUCAAUGGGCGCAGGCCUGAACCAGCCAAGUCGCGUGAGGGAGGACGGUCCUACGGAUUGUAAACCUCUUCUGUCGGGGAGUAACGUGCGGGACGCGUCCCGUAUUGAGAGU